rnacentral:rRNA from 1 species
UACGUAGGGCGCAAGCGUUAUCCGGAAUUAUUGGGCGUAAAGAGCUCGUAGGCGGUUUGUCGCGUCUGCCGUGAAAGUCCGGGGCUCAACUCCGGAUCUGCGGUGGGUACGGGCAGACUAGAGUGAUGUAGGGGAGACUGGAAUUCCUGGUGUAGCGGUGAAAUGCGCAGAUAUCAGGAGGAACACCGGUGGCGAAGGCGACCAUCUGGACCGCAACUGACGCUGAGGCGCGAAAGCGUGGGGAGCAAACAGG